rnacentral:rRNA from 1 species
GAUGAACGCUGGCGGUAUGCUUAACACAUGCAAGUCGAACGGACUCUUCGGAGUUAGUGGCGGACGGGUGAGUAACGCGUGAGAAUCUGGCUUUGGGUUCGGGACAACCACUGGAAACGGUGGCUCAUACCGGAUGUGCCGAGAGGUAAAAGAGAAAUUGCCUGAAGAUGAGCUCGCGUCUGAUUAGCUAGUUGGUGAGGUAAAGGCUCACCAAGGCAGCGAUCAGUAGCUGGUCUGAGGGGAUGACCAGCCACACGGGGCCUGAGACACGGCCCAGACUCCUGCGGGAGGGAGGAGUGGGGAAUUGUCCGAAAGGGGCGAGAGCCUGACGGAGCAGUACCGCGUGAGGGAAGAAGGCUCUGGGGUUGUAAAGCUCUUUUCUUAGGGAAGAACAAAAUGACGGUACCUAAGGAAGCAGCAUCGGCUAACUACGUG